rnacentral:rRNA from 1 species
GGCGCACGGGUGCGUAACGCGUAUACAAUCUACCUUUUGCUGAGGGAUAGCCCAGAGAAAUUUGGAUUAAUACCUCAUAGUAUCAUUAAGUAGCAUUACUUGAUGAUUAAAGAUUUAUCGGUAUAAGAUGAGCAUGCGUCCCAUUAGUUAGUUGGUGAGGUAACGGCUUACCAAGACUACGAUGGUUAGGGGUCCUGAGAGGGAGAUCCCCCACACUGGUACUGAGACACGGACCAGACUCC